CGAGAAGAGGAAAAAUUUGUACUGAUUGCAACCUCUGAUGCUGUCAAAACAGACAUCAUAAAAAUGCUAAAGCAGAAACC
rfam:Flavobacterium sp. Leaf359 contig_6, whole genome shotgun sequence.